ACAGAUUUGUAAAGAAAAAAAACACGACCACACAAUUAGCACGAGCUCGCCUCCUCCCUCUCUCGCCCACGAAGCCCUCGCCGCCGCCACCACCCACGCCGGCCGCUUCCGGCGAGCUCCGCCGCCGCGCAGCACGCCAUCGAGUUCCCCAUGGUCCACGCAACCCUCCCCUCUCUCCAUAUUCUCCGCUCCCGGCCUCUGCCGCCCGCUCGCAACCCCACCCCCCGCGGCUAGGGUUUCGGGCAGGGCUUCGCCGGCGCGUCUCCGGCGGCCCCAGGUCCGUCCCUCCUUCCUUCUUGGUCGGGAUCCUCAUCCUCGCCUUCCUCUCCCUAAACACCGACCAAGCCUUCCCCUAAACCUGACCCCGUGGUGCUAUUCCAUCUUGGUUUUGUGAAUGAUACUGCAUCUUGAAAAGAAGGGGGAACUGAUUAUUGGUUCAAAAUAAUUGGGGGACAGAGAUGUGAGAGUUUGAGGGGUUCAACUUGGGAAUUUUAUACAGAGAGAUGUGGGUUCAGUUGGGGAUUUGUAUCAUAUCAUGUUGCCGUGUAUGCCAUACUUUAUUCUUUGCUCUGCUUGGGGAGUUUUGUAUAGGGUGAUCUGAUUUGUAUCAGUUAUAUGUGAUAUCUGCUUUCAUUUUGUGGAGCCCUGUAGCUUGUGAAAUCAUCAUGUGUUCUAUCUUGUGCGCCUCUUGUGGUCUUACCAAUGGAGUUGGCUUUAGCUCUUGAAAAGAUGGUGAAUGAGAAGCUGCCCAACCCGCCCACUAUAAGUUUCUCCUUCAUGCCUAUUUACAAUAAAAUUACUUUAAAGGUAUUUGUGUGUGCAUUCGUCCCACUGAAUUCCAAAUUAUUUAUCCGAACCAGUACAUGCAAAUGUCACACCAUAUCUAAGACGUCAUCCCAAAUUUAACAGGUAGCAACAAGGUGAAAAGAUCCUCAGCUGGGCAUCUUUAUUGAGAAUAAAUUUCUUUAGGAGCAAGUAAAACCGUCUCCAUGCAGAGAGAUCUGCCAUACAUGCACCGUUGUCUCGAAACACUUUACUUCAUUGUGUGCUUUACUAACGGAAUAACCACUGCUGAAUUCUUGUAAAAGUUUAAAGCCGUGAAGAAGAUAACCAAGUACGUGUGAUGCAUUUUAGGAGAAUUGGCAAAGAGCACAGUUAGUUUGUACUGUUAUAAACUUAUAAUACUGAAUUCGUACAUGGUGGUGUAGUUGUACUGUUAUGUCAUGCUCAGAAGCGAUAACACCAUUGCUCUACAUGUUUUUAGUUUGAUCUGUACUAAUUCAGAAAGAGUAGUCACAUAUUGGUGGUUGUUAGCCACGUGAAGUGAAUGGGAGAACAAGGAGCCCGAGUGGUAUUUUCUUUUGCUUUCACAAAUUAGCCACAAGUUAACAUCCUCUAAUUAAAGCCAACAUGGGGGCUCAAAGGCAAAUUGCCCAGGUGUUUUAAGUUCUUGGAGCUUUCCAUGCUAACAAGAGGAGACAAUUAAACUUGCCUUUUUUAUGUAGGGUUACUCAUGCAGUUUCAGAAGGAGAUUGUGGAUCAUGAGUUAACAUACCAGAUGGAAGAGUGAUGGGCCAACAUAUGGAAGUGCAGAUCGAAAAACCCGGGUUUGCAGGAUGCAACAAUUGGUGUUGCGAGCAAUAGCCAAAACCAUCACUCACAAGAAAUAUGAGAUCCUCAAGCAAGACUUGCAUGAUGCACAGAUUGUAAUUGCUUGGCAUCAACUAUUCGCAACUACUAACUCACCAUCAAAACCAGAACUUGACAAGGUUUUGAACUAACUGAAGGCUGCUUGGAUGCUGAGAAAUUAAAAGAGUUUAAACUUGUGCAGAAGAGACAAAUCAGUCUUAAUGUGGCCAAGUUCAAAUUUGCUCUCCCGACACCUACUUCUGUGUUGGGCCUUCCAAUUGGCCAACAUAUAAGCUGCAGGUUUCAACACUUACUGGUCAUGUCUUGAUCUACAUUUCAGUUGAGUGGUCAUUGAGGAGCGAGUGAAAUACUCUUAUAAUUCUAUCGAUGUGUGUAUUGUGUAAACUGGCUGCACCAUUGCAGAGUCAUGGAUGCUACUCGGCCUUUUAGUAAAAACUGACGUGUAGAGUCUCCUUGGUUUAGGCUCUGAUGAUAGGUUUGGAUUUGCUUCUUAUUCUGAUGUAUAGAUAUCGACUGAAAAAAUAAAGAUCACAUGCUAAUGUGCAAAUCGGAGGUUUGAGCCACUGAGGAGCGUGUCCGCGUCACGAGUGUCGCCAUUCAUGGGAAGCACCAAGAUCUAACACUGAAUGUUGUUAGCUCGCUCCUUCACAAAUGAGUCUCUUAAGCUAUCGCUUAUCUCGCUUUGUUAGACAAACUGUUUAUGCGACAGGGAAGGCUUCUGGAACGAUACAAUUGUUGUUCUAUUUUUGUCAACCCACUCUGCUUAAUCAUAUUGAUUAUUUUUUUC